rfam:Musa acuminata subsp. malaccensis Doubled-haploid Pahang (DH-Pahang) genomic chromosome, chr11
GGCUGCUGUGACGACUCAGGAAUAUUCAAGCUCAACAGACCGGAUUGCAGGUCUCUCUUUGUCGAGGGAUUUGUAUGUCGACUAUCCCGCUGACCCGAGCAUUC